rnacentral:rRNA from 1 species
CGGACGGGUGAGUAACGCGUGGAUAACCUGCCUCACACUGGGGGAUAACGGUUAGAAAUGGCUGCUAAUACCGCAUAAGCGCACAGUACCGCAUGGUACGGUGUGAAAAACCCAGGUGGUGUGAGAUGGAUCCGCGUCUGAUUAGCCAGUUGGCGGGGUAACGGCCCACCAAAGCGACGAUCAGUAGCCGACCUGAGAGGGUGACCGGCCACAUUGGGACUGAGACACGGCCCAA